rnacentral:rRNA from 1 species
UAUUGAGAUUCUACAACUCUGUGAACAUUUACUUGUUUGGCUGCGCGCACCGUUUCGGUUGUGAGCGGCCGCUUUACAAAACACCUUUUUUAUUAUAUCUGACAACCAGAAAUUCAAAAUUAUCAAUAACGGAUCUCUUGGUUCUCGCAUCGAUGAAGACCGCAGCAAAGCGCGAAAGAUAAUGUGAAUUGCAGACGUGAAUCAUUGAGUUGUUGAACGCAUAUUGCACUUUUUUUAACGAAAAAGUAUGCUUUUGCGAGCGUCAUUUCUCUCUCCACCUUGUGUGGGUAUUGGUGCUGAUAUAGCGCUUAAAACAAUCAUGUGUAUGUGUUAACCACAAUGUGCACUCAUUUUUAACCAUUGACCUCGUAUAAAGUAAGAGUACCCGCUGAACUUAAGCAUAUCAAUAAGCGGAGGAAAAGAAACCAACAGGGAUUGCCUUAGUAGCGGCGAGUGAAGCGGCAAAAGCUCAGAUUUGAAAUCUGCCUCACGGCCGAGUUGUAAUCUGUAGAUGGCUACUCUGUAACAAGUCUUUGCUCAAGUUUUCUGGAAAGGAACAUCAUGGAGGGUGAUAAUCCCGUGAGGCAUUGGCGUCGUUGCGUGUAGAGGGUCAUCAAAGAGUCGAGUUGUUUGGGAAUGCAGCUCAAAGCGGGUGGUAGACACCAUCUAAAGCUAAAUAUUGGCGAGAGACCGAUAGCGAACAAGUACUGUGAAGGAAAGAUGAAAAGCACUUUGAAAAGAGAGUGAAAAAGUACGUGAAAUUAUUGAUACAGAAGGAUAUGCCAUUGGACGUUAUGUUUGGGCAUGCUUGUGCUUCGGCGCAGGUUUAACCCUCUCAUUUUACCAGCAUCAGUUUCGGCAGGAGGACAAACAACGCGGAAUGUAGCUGCUUGCAGUGUUAUAGACGUGUUGCAUACUCUUUGCUGGGACUGAGGCCCGCCAUGCAG